rnacentral:lncRNA from 1 species
AGCCUUCUCGGUGGGAGAGGAUGAACUGCCAUGUCUAAGAGAAAGACUUGCCCCCGAAUUUGUAGUUUUGGCCAGAAAUGGUGAGAAGAAAAAGCAUGAAGAAGCCGCGAAGUGUGGGGGAGAAAAAGGUGGAAGCGAAGAAACAGCUCCCGGAGCAAACUGUACAAAAACCUCGCCAAGAGUGUCGGGAGGCAGGACCGUUAUUCCUGCAGAGCAGGAGAGAGACGAGAGACCCUGAAACACGCGCCACCUAUCUUUGUGGGGAGGGAUAAUUGAAGCGCCCUGAGCGUGAGCAUCAUGUGAAAACGUGAUCGCCAAGUUUCUCUCUGGGAAAGGAUCUGGGAUAGAUUAUACCUUGAAGUCUCCGCAAACGCUUUAGUGGAA